rnacentral:rRNA from 1 species
GUGAGGAAUAUUGGUCAAUGGACGAGAGUCUGAACCAGCCAAGUCGCGUGAAGGAAGAAGGAUCUAUGGUUCGUAAACUUCUUUUGCAGGGGAAUAAAGUGCAGGACGUGUCCUGUUUUGUAUGUACCCUGAGAAUAAGGAUCGGCUAACUCCGUGCCAGCAGCCGCGGUAAUACGGAGGAUCCGAGCGUUAUCCGGAUUUAUUGGGUUUAAAGGGUGCGUAGGUGGUUUGAUAAGUCAGCGGUGAAAGUUUGCAGCUUAACUGUAAAAAUGCCGUUGAAACUGUCGGACUUGAGUGUAAAUGAGGUAGGCGGAAUGCGUGGUGUAGCGGUGAAAUGCAUAGAUAUCACGCAGAACUCCGAUUGCGAAGGCAGCUUACUAAGCUACAACUGACACUGAAGCACGAAAGCGUGGGGAUCAAACAGGAUUAGAUACCCUGGUAGUCC